rnacentral:rRNA from 1 species
CCUACGGGAGGCAGCAGUGGGGGAUAUUGGACAAUGGGGGGAACCCUGAUCCAGCGACGCCGCGUGAGUGAAGAAGUAUCUCGGUAUGUAAAGCUCUAUCAGCAGGGAAGAAGAAAUGACGGUACCUGAGUAAGAAGCCCCGGCUAACUACGUGCCAGCAGCCGCGGUAAUACGUAGGGGGCAAGCGUUAUCCGGAUUUACUGGGUGUAAAGGGGGCGCAGACGGCAGCGCAAGCCAGGAGUGAAAGCCCGGGGCCCAACCCCGGGACUGCUCUUGGAACUGCGCGGCUGGAGUGCAGGAGGGGCAGGCGGAAUGCCUGGUGUAGCGGUGAAAUGCGUAGAUAUCAGGAGGAACACCGGUGGCGAAGGCGGCCUGCUGGACUGCGACUGACGUUGAGGCCCGAAAGCGUGGGGAGCAAACAGGAUUAGAUACCCGAGUAGUC